ACGCAUUAUUACGGGAUUAGUGGUCAGAUUCCAUUCUCGAAUUGUGUGAAGAGGUGUGGGGCUAGAUUGUUGUACGAGCAAGAUUUGAAAAACCUCCCCGAUGGAACAACCAACAUCUUGAAGCGGAGUCGUGAAUAUUGUGACUCGGAGGAGGCCGAGCCAGGGGAAGGUCCAAGUGCAAUUGCAAUUGGUAGCUCUAACAAAGAAUCGGUUUUUAAAAGACUCAAGGCAUGAAUACUAAUCAAUCAAUGGAGAGGAACUACCCCUUUCUGCUUCUGGUUCUUGUACAGCUGGGCUGCUAGUGGUCUCUUUGGCGACAAUGGUCUUCCACUGUUCUUCCUUUGAGUACUUGAGGAGCACAUCCACAACAAGAUUUGUGGCACAUUGGCCGGGGCUAUCUCUGCCUCCGUUACGAUGCCAUGUUGAUGUACGUUGUUAAGAAGAGGCUGAUCAAGAUGUCGCUUUGAUUGGUUUGAAAUUUCUCUUCCAUAUUCCUUUUCAUUUGUUGUCCUCAUUCCUUCUACGCUCAUAUUCAUUCCUACAAGUAGUAAAUUAUUGUUGCAAUUUUUAGUGUCCUGUAAAUUAAUUUUCUAUGAGUAGUAGAAGAUUAGAAGUAGAAGUCCAAGACCGUGAUCCAAUUCAAUACUUUCUAUGUUCUCUUUCGCAAAAUGUUAACGCAUAAUGCCCGUGAGAUAUCAUUA